GGAAGAUGUAACGGGGCUAAACUAUGCACCGAAGCUGCGGCAGCGACACUAUGUGUUGUUGGGUAGGGGAGCGUUCUGUAAGCCUGUGAAGGUGUGUCGUGAGGCAUGCUGGAGGUAUCAGAAGUGCGAAUGCUGACAUAAGUAACGAUAAAGCGGGUGAAAAGCCCGCUCGCCGGAAGACCAAGGGUUCCUGUCCAACGUUAAUCGGGGCAGGGUGAGUCGACCCCUAAGGCGAGGCCGAAAGGCGUAGUCGAUGGGAAACGGGUUAAUAUUCCCGUACUUGGUGUUACUGCGAAGGGGGGACGGAGAAGGCUAUGUUGGCCGGGCGACGGUUGUCCCGGUUUAAGCGUGUAGGUGUGUGUUCCAGGUAAAUCCGGUUCACUUUAACACUGAGGCGUGAUGACGAGGCACUACGGUGCUGAAGCAACAAAUGCCCUGCUUCCAGGAAAAGCCUCUAAGCAUCAGGUAACAUCAAAUCGUACCCCAAACCGACACAGGUGGUCAGGUAGAGAAUACCAAGGCGCUUGAGAGAACUCGGGUGAAGGAACUAGGCAAAAUGGUGCCGUAACUUCGGGAGAAGGCACGCUGACACGUAGGUGAAGUGAUUUACUCAUGGAGCUGAAGUCAGUCGAAGAUACCAGCUGGCUGCAACUGUUUAUUAAAAACACAGCACUGUGCAAACACGAAAGUGGACGUAUACGGUGUGACGCCUGCCCGGUGCCGGAAGGUUAAUUGAUGGGGUCAGCGCAAGCGAAGCUCCUGAUCGAAGCCCCGGUAAACGGCGGCCGUAACUAUAACGGUCCUAAGGUAGCGAAAUUCCUUGUCGGGUAAGUUCCGACCUGCACGAAUGGCGUAAUGAUGGCCAGGCUGUCUCCACCCGAGACUCAGUGAAAUUGAACUCGCUGUGAAGAUGCAGUGUACCCGCGGCAAGACGGAAAGACCCCGUGAACCUUUACUAUAGCUUGACACUGAACAUUGAGCCUUGAUGUGUAG
rnacentral:rRNA from 1 species